rnacentral:lncRNA from 1 species
ACUCUGAGAUGGAACGAGCUUUGGCAAAAUUGGGAAGAAGUAAGAAAGGAUCAUCCUCUGUACCUGAUCGGAAACUAUCAGAAUCGAAACAUUCGAAAUCUUCAUCAAGGAAGUCAAAAAAGAAAAGACAUGUCUCCUCUUCUGAAUUCAGUGAUGAGAGCUCGGACGGCUCUCGGGACAGGAAACGACACCGUAAGCACAGGCAUUCGUCAAAGAAAAAGAGUUCCAGUAGGCGACACAGGUCAAGGCGUACUAAGGAUGACUCUGAUACCGAUCCCAGCAGUGAUGUAGAACCCGAAUCUCGCCACAGACAUAGCAAGGGUCGACACCUCAAGGAUCGCAAAGAUAGGAGGUCAGAGAAGAAAAGAGAUGCUGAUUACAGUGAUCAUGAUGACAGGAAGAAAAGGAAAGUUGAGAAGAGCAGGGAUGUUGAGGAGGGUGAAAUUGAAGACCAACGAGAAAGAGUAGCGAAGAGACGACAUGACGUAGAGAGUGAUAUUGAAGAUCGGAGAGGAAAAAGAUCCGAGAAGAGGAGACAUGAUGUGGACAGUGACCUUGAAGAUCAGAGAGAAAAAAGACCCGAGAAGAGGGGACAUGAUGUGGACAGUGACCUUGAUGAUCGGAGAGAAAUAAGAUCCGAGAAGAGAAGACAUGAUGUGGACAGUGACCUUGAUGAUCGGAGAGAAAUAAGAUCCGAGAAGAGAAGACAUGAAGUGGACAAUGACCUUGAAGAUCAGAGAGAUAAAAGAUCCGAGAAGAGAAGGGACGUUGAGAACAGUGAUUUCGAAGAUCUAAGGGACAAGAGAGUCGAGAGUACAAUGUCACGGAUGGAAGACAGUGAAGAUGGUGAUGAAAGGCAUCGUAGGAAGGAUCGG